rnacentral:rRNA from 1 species
CCUACGGGGGGCAGCAGUAGGGAAUAUUGCUCAAUGGGGGAAACCCUGAAGCAGCAACGCCGCGUGGAGGAUGAAGGUUUUCGGAUUGUAAACCCCUUUUGUUAGAGAAGAUAAUGACGGUAUCUAACGAAUAAGCACCGGCUAACUCCGUGCCAGCAGCCGCGGUAAUACGGAGGGUGCAAGCGUUACUCGGAAUCACUGGGCGUAAAGAGCGCGUAGGCGGGAUAGCAAGUCAGAUGUGAAUUCCUAGGGCUUAACCAUAGAACUGCAUUUGAAACUGUUAUUCUAGAGUAUGGGAGAGGUAGGUGGAAUUCUUGGUGUAGGGGUGAAAUCCGUAGAGAUUAAGAGGAAUACUCAUUGCGAAGGCGACCUGCUAGAACAUAACUGACGCUGAUGCGCGAAAGCGUGGGGAGCAAACAGGAUUAGAUACCCCAGUAGUC